GCCCUUCCCACCCGUCGGCCUUCCCCGCUGCGAGCAGGAGCCGUUCUCAAACCGAAAGCAGCAGCCCGCAGGCAGCAACCGUCUCCAGAGGCUUUGCUCCAACUGCCUCCCGGUCGACCUACUUGAUCCUCCUCCUAACCCGGGUGCUGUUAUCACCCCAAUUUCACCAAUGAGGAAAGAGGUGCAGAGAGCGGAGACCCACCAAGGCGGCCCUGUGAGGAUCUAAGAGUCCACAGUUCCGCUCGAGAGACAGCCGUCACUCCCGCCAGUGCGCUCUGGGUCUGAGACGUGAAGUGAAGUCACGGAUGCUUUUCAUGAGCUUUACCUGACGUGGACCUCCCAGCGUGGCUCCCUCACGGCCACCACCGUAUCCCUGAGCUGGCGCCCCACCAAGAGCAGGACCAGGGAGGCCCAGCCACACCACACAGCACCCUCAGGGGCCAGGCAACAUCAGGGAGGCCCAGCCAUGCCACACAGCACCCUCAGGGGCCAGGCAACAUCAGACCUGCUACCUCCGUGGGCCCUACUGCGAGAAAAGUACAUCUUCACAAAUGCAGCUGGAUCCACGCUGGAACAGAGGCCACUCGCCCAGAUCCAUCAGCCA
rnacentral:lncRNA from 1 species